rnacentral:rRNA from 1 species
CAGUCGCCGCGGUAAUACGAAGGGGGCUAGCGUUGCUCGGAAUGACUGGGCGUAAAGGGCGCGUAGGCGGAUUGUUUAGUUAGGCGUGAAAUUCCUGGGCUUAACCUGGGGACUGCGCUUAAUACAGGCAGUCUAGAGUGAGGAAGAGGGUUGUGGAAUUCCCAGCGUAGAGGUGAAAUUCGUAGAUAUUGGGAAGAACACCGGUGGCGAAGGCGGCAACCUGGUCCUUGACUGACGCUGAGGUGCGAAAGCGUGGGGAGCAAACAGGAUUAGAUACCCCGGUAGUCCCUGUCUCUUAUAC